GACGAACGCUGGCGGCGUGCUUAACACAUGCAAGUCGAACGGAAAGGCCCUGCUUUUGUGGGGUGCUCGAGUGGCGAACGGGUGAGUAACACGUGAGUAACCUGCCCUUGACUUUGGGAUAACUUCAGGAAACUGGGGCUAAUACCGGAUAGGAGCUCCUGCUGCAUGGUGGGGGUUGGAAAGUUUCGGCGGUUGGGGAUGGACUCGCGGCUUAUCAGCUUGUUGGUGGGGUAGUGGCUUGCCAAGGCUUUGACGGGUAGCCGGCCUGAGAGGGUGACCGGCCACAUUGGGACUGAGAUACGGCCCAGACUCCUACGGGAGGCAGCAGUGGGGAAUAUUGCACAAUGGGCGGAAGCCUGAUGCAGCAACGCCGCGUGCGGGAUGACGGCCUUCGGGUUGUAAACCGCUUUCGCCUGUGACGAAGCGUGAGUGACGGUAAUGGGUAAAGAAGCACCGGCUAACUAUGUG
rnacentral:rRNA from 1 species